CAGCAGUCGCCACGGGAAUACGGAGGGUGCAAGCGUUAUCCGGAUUUAUUGGGUUUAAAGGGUCCGUAGGCGGAUCUGUAAGUCAGUGGUGAAAUCUCACAGCUUAACUGUGAAACUGCCAUUGAUACUGCAGGUCUUGAGUAAAUUUGAAGUGGCUGGAAUAAGUAGUGUAGCGGUGAAAUGCAUAGAUAUUACUUAGAACACCAAUUGCGAAGGCAGGUCACUAAGAUUUAACUGACGCUGAUGGACGAAAGCGUGGGGAGCGAACAGGAUUAGAUACCCCAGUAGUCCCUGUCUCUUAUAC
rnacentral:rRNA from 1 species